rnacentral:rRNA from 1 species
UACGUAGGGUGCGAGCGUUAAUCGGAAUUACUGGGCGUAAAGCGUGCGCAGGCGGUUUUGUAAGCCAGAUGUGAAAUCCCCGGGCUUAACCUGGGAAUGGCAUUUGGGACUGCAAGGCUCGAGUGCGGAAGAGGAGAGUGGAAUUCCUGGUGUAGCGGUGAAAUGCGCAGAUAUCAGGAGGAACACCAAUGGCGAAGGCAGCUCACUGGGACGGUACUGACGCUGAGACGCGAAAGCGUGGGGAGCAAACAGG